rnacentral:rRNA from 1 species
GCGCGAAAACUUCUACAAUGCAGGCAACUGCGAUAGGGGGACAUCGAGUGGCAUCCACCUUGGGUGCCUGUCCAACCGUCUAAAAAACGGUUGUUAGCAAGGGCCGGGUAAGACCGGUGCCAGCCGCCGCGGUAAUACCGGCGGCUCGAGUGGUGGCCGAUAUUAUUGAGUCUAAAGGGUCCGUAGCCGGCUUUGCAAGUCCCCUGGGAAAUCCAGCGGCUUAACCGUUGGGCUUUCAUGGGAUACUACAUUGCUUGGGACUGGGAGAGGUAGGAGGUACUCGGGGGGUAGGG